CAUCCCUCAGACAGCAGCUGGGCAAAGUGGCAGCUCCUCCAGAACUUCCUUUGACUCCGGUGGCAUCCAUCCUGGGCUCUGGCUCCAUGCUUGGCUCAGGAAUAACUGCCAGGACCAACCAGCUGUGCUAAGACUCUGAAGCUGCCACUCACUCAUGGAAGGGGAAGGAAAGUGAGGUCCAUCCCAUGUAGGUGGACGAAGAUAGGGCAAGAGGAGGAACCACUGCCUUUUAUGCGGGGUAUGGUAGCUGAGGCAUUUUACUUAGGCAAGACUUGAAGAAAGCAAGCCCAGUAGAGACAGGGUUUCCAUGUUGGCCAAGCUGGUCUUGAACUCCUGAUCUCAAGUGAUCCACCCAUCUCGGCUUCCCGAAGUGCUGGAAUUACAGGUGUAAGCCACCACACUCGGCCAUGAGUUGGGCUUUGAAGGAUGAAUAAGAGUUUGACAGGCUGAGAAACAAAAAGAAGGCAGAGGGGCAAACGGCCAGUUUGAGAUUCUCUUCUACUCUGCUUCAGAUCCUCAGAUAACCAGAGAUCCUGACACUGGGUCCAAGGAUAGGACACCUGACCCAUGCGAGGAGCAUCACUGGCAGCUGAGCGGCCCACAAGGAAAUUUGGGACAAAGGAAAAGCCCACCAAAGUGGGCUGCAUCUUUCAAGCGUGUCCGUGUGAAGGGACCACCAAACAGG
rnacentral:lncRNA from 10 species